AAUUGUUCGCAAUGGGCGCAAGCCUGACGACGCAACGCCGCGUGGAGGAUGAAGACCUUCGGGUCAUAAACUCCUUUCGACCGAGAUGAACACCUGUCGACCUAAUACGUUGACAGGCUGACAGUACCGAGGGAAGAAGCCCCGGCUAACUACGUGCCAGCAGCCGCGGUAAUACGUAGGGACCAAGCGUUGUUCGGAUUUACUGGGCGUAAAGGGCGCGUAGGCGGCAAUUCAAGUCAUCUGUGAAAUCUCCGGGCUUAACUCGGAACGGUCAGAUGAUACUGCUUUGCUUGAGUGCGGAAGGGGCAAUCGGAAUUCUUGGUGUAGCGGUGAAAUGCGUAGAUAUCAAGAGGAACACCUGAGGUGAAGACGGGUUGCUGGGCCGACACUGACGCUGACAGCGCGAAAGCCAGGGGAGCAAAC
rnacentral:rRNA from 1 species